GGCACGCGGUGGUCACCGCCGCGGUGGUGCUGCUGCUGAGCGGCGUGGGGCCGGCGCACGGCUCGGAGGACAUCGUGGUGGGCUGCGGUGGCUUCGUCAAGUCGGACGUGGAGGUCAACUGCUCGCUCAUCGAGAUAAAGCUGUACACCAAGCAUGGGACUUUGAAAUACCAGACAGACUGUGCCCCUAAUAAUGGUUACUUUAUGAUCCCUUUGUAUGAUAAGGGGGAUUUCAUUCUGAAGAUUGAGCCUUCCCUGGGGUGGAGUUUUG
rnacentral:lncRNA from 1 species